rnacentral:rRNA from 1 species
GGCUCAGAACGAACGCUGGCGGCGUGGAUAAGACAUGCAAGUCGAACGCUUGUCGUAGGGUAGCAAUAUUCUGCGGCAGGAGUGGCGCAAGGGUGCGUAACACGUGGGUCAUUUGCCGCGAAGUUGGGAACAACUCGUUGAAAGACGAGCUAAUACCUGAUGUGCUCCGCAAGGAGUAAAAGCCGGGGACCGAAAGGCCUGGCGCUUCGCGAUAAGCCCGCGGCCUAUCAGCUAGUUGGCGGGGUAAAAGCCCACCAAGGCUAAGACGGGUAGCUGGUCUGAGAGGACGACCAGCCACACUGGAACUGAGACACGGUCCAGACACCUACGGGUGGCAGCAGUCGAGAAUUUUUCACAAUGGGCGAAAGCCUGAUGGAGCGACGCCGCGUGGGGGAUGAAGGGCUUCGGGCUCGUAAACCCCCUGUCAUUUGCGAACAAAGGCGCCAACCUAACACGUUGUCGUCUGAUAGUAGCAGAAGAGGAAGGGACGGCUAACCUCUGUGCCAGCAGCCG